CACUAGGUCCACCUGUAGGAGGAGGUAUAGGAGGAGGAGGUGCAGUAACACUAGGUCCACCUGUAGGAGGAGGAGGUGCAGUAACACUAGGUCCACCUGUAGGAGGAGGAGGUGCAGUAACACUAGGUCCACCUGUAGGAGGA